GGGCCCUCCACCCUCCGUCCGGCCGCGACCGCGAGGAGGAAGAGGAGAUGGGCUACGCGAGGCCCGGCCCACCCCGCGUUCGCGCGUGCGCACGGGGAGGCCGGGGCGGGGCGCGUGAGGACUUCGGCGCGCGCCGGAAGCACGUGCGCGGGCUGGGCGCUCUGGCGGUGUGCGCUGAGCAUCUGUCCCAGUGUCAGGCACAUUUUAGGUGCCCAACAAACAUCUGUGGAAUGAAUGAAUGAGUGCUGGCACCACCUAUAAGCACACAGUAAGGAUAACCAUGGAGAGAAUAUGCCGAGCCUUUUAAUCAGCCCAGAAGAGCGCCUUCUGUGUUAAGGCGAAAUGCCAGAAUCCCAAGGAACAGAUUCACCACCCAGGGGCGGGACUCAGGGACUGCUGAUACUGAGGCUGCCCUGUGGGUUUUCCUUCCAGAUCCCUUCUUGAUUUGCCCAAAAGAAUUUCACGUUUUGUUUCAGUUAAGGAGAGGCCUUUCCUUACUGCUGACUUUAAGGAAACUGGAAAUUGUGCUUGUGGGGGAAGUGGCUUUGGAACUUGGGGCCUCUUUGGGACCUGGUAGGCAAUGGGGUUUGGGGGCAAGUUUGUGGGACAUGUGUCUGAACAGGAAGGAAGGGAGGAGCAGUGGGGCCAGCCAGGAAGCAGUGCCGAAUGCAGAUUUCUCUUCUUGUGCAGCUUUGCUUAGAGUUGAACAUUACUUCCCAGAGAUAGAUUGACCCCAAUCCUGCAGAGAUUGGCUAUCCUGCUCUUCAACUUAUUUUUAGAUAUAUGGUCUCACUUGAAUCUCACAUCCAAUGAGGAGUUCCUGACCCCUCAAUUUAGCUCCACCUGGCAUUCCAGAGCAAUUCAAGGACCUGGUAGGGCUACUAGCAAUCCACUGCUACAUAUAGGGGAACAAUGAGUUUUAAAGCUGCUCAGAAAUCUGUGAUUCGAGUAUCAGGAAAUCCUUGACUCUUUAUCAAAUGUGAAGUUGCUGAUUUAAGAAAUAAAGUUAAGAAACAAUAUUCAUUAACAGAAUGGAAUUUAAUGCAACCGCUGGUGUUUUGGGGUUAUUUUCUGGUCACAUAGUGCCCCCUGGUGGGUUCACUGACAUACUCUUCUGGAAUGCUCCUUUCCCAGGCUGUGCUUUGUGACAAGGCCAGCACCAGCAGGGUGAUUCCAAGAAUUUGCAGUUUAGGCACAGUCCAACGAUGCUCUAAAGAUUGUCUGUUAAGGGAAAAUAUGAGUUAUGAAAAUGCUGUGGGUUGUACUGUAUCCCCCACCAAAAGAUACGUUAAAGUCCUAAGCCCCAAUACCUGUGAAUGCAGACUUAUUUGGAAAAAGGGUCUUUGCAGAUGUAACUAUGAAACUAAGGUGAGGUCAUUAGGGCAAGCCCUUAAUCCAGUAUGACUGUGUUCUUAUAAGAGGAGGAGAGGCUGGGUGCAGUGGCUCACACCUGUAAUCCCAGCGAUUUGGGAGGCUGAGGCGGGAGGAUCGCUUGAGCCCAGGAUUUGCUGGGCAACAUAUCGAGACCCCAUCUCUACUAAAAAUUUAAAAAUUAGCCAGACAUGGUGGCACGCAGCUGUAGUCUCACCUACUUGGAAGGCUAGUGGGAGGAUGGCUUGAGCCCAGGAGUCCGAGGCUGCAGUGAGCUAUGAUCAUAUCAAUGCACUCCAGUCUGGGCAACAAGGGAGACCCUGACUCAAAAAAACAAAACAAAAACAAAACAAAACAAAACAAAAAAAGAGGAGGAGAGAGACACACAAGGAGAGAAUGCCAUGUGACAAUGGAGACAGACACUGGACUGAUGCACCUGCAGACCGAGGAAUGCGCAAGGAUUGCCAGCAGCCCCCAGAAGCCAGGAGCGGGACAUGGAAUAGAGUCUCUCUCAACCCCUCAGAAAGUUCUAAUCCUGCUGAUGCCUUGAUUUUGGACUUCAGCGUCCAGAACUGUGAGAUGAGAUAUGUUUGUUGCUUAAGCCUCCCGGUUUAUGCUGCUUUGUGAUGGCAGCCCAAGCAGACGAAUACAGAAAGAAAUGGGGAUUUGAGUUGGAAGAACUGCUUUGAGUCCCAGCUACCACUUAGUACCUGAAUGACCUUGGGCAAAGAAGUUCAAUUUUUCUGAGCCUCAGUUUUAUAAACUGCAAAAUGGAGAAAUACAAAAGUAACUGUUCUCCUGCCUCAGGAUCCCUGUGAGGAUGAAGUGUGACUAUGUGUAUAAAAAUAUUUUGUUUAUUGUACAGCACUGUGUACUGCAAUCUUAUUACACAAAGAAAGGAAGGUGGGAGGUAGUAGAGCGGAGUGAUUACAAGCUAGGCUCUGGCUGGGCACAGUGGCUCAUGCCUGUAAUCUCAGCACUUUGGGAGGCUGAGGUGGGUGGAUCACCUGAGGUCAGGAGUUUGACCUGGCCAACAU
rnacentral:lncRNA from 1 species